ACGACUGGUAUCCACGAUCCUAGAGAAUUCGAGCGGGAUGCGGGCGAAAACCUGCGAGUGCUUUUUCGAGAAUUCGUCUA
rnacentral:sRNA from 1 species